rnacentral:misc_RNA from 1 species
GAACGCACCUUGCACCCUUUGGUAUUCCGAAGGGUAUGCUCGUUUGAGUGUCAUGUAGACUCAAUCCCUCGGGUUUCCGAGGAGAUUGGACUUGGGUGUUGCCGCUCUGCCGGCUCGCCUUAAAAGACUUAGCGGGAUAGCACCGUAGUCGGCGUAAUAAGUUUCGUCGGUGAAGGUUGUGAUGACUGCUUACAAUCGCCCUCGGGCAAUUUUUGACUCUGACCUCAAAUCAGGUAGGACUACCCGCUGAACUUAAG